rnacentral:rRNA from 1 species
UACAGAGGGGGCAAGCGUUAUUCGGAAUUAUUGGGCGUAAAGGGCGCGUAGGCGGCCUGGCAAGUGGAAGGUGAAAUCCCUCGGCUUAACCGAGGAACUGCCCUCCAAACUGCUUGGCUUGAGACCGGGAGAGGUGAGUGGAAUUCCCAGUGUAGCGGUGAAAUGCGUAGAUAUUGGGAGGAACACCAGUGGCGAAGGCGGCUCACUGGACCGGUACUGACACUGAGGCGCGAAAGCCAGGGGAGCAAACGGG